CUGUGAUGAGCCCAUCUAGAUGACGAGUCUUAUUCAGCUUUGCUGAUGCAGAGACAUAUCUUUUUACCAUUCAUGCAUUUUCUGAGA
rnacentral:snoRNA from 1 species